rnacentral:pre_miRNA from 1 species
AAUGGUAGGUGAUUAUUUUGCGUCGGCGUACCUUGUACUGUAGUGGUAGUGCCUUACGCUGGUAGUCUCUUACUCGC